GUAGACCUUAAAGACGGAGAAAUCCCCUGU
rnacentral:piRNA from 1 species